ensembl:lncRNA
UGGGACUGUUAAUUGGAAGUGAUUGCCCGUUGGCGUUAGCCCCCCAGGAAGUCAUCACAGGAGGCGAAAAUGAUCCAUUCGCCCAGAGAACGGAACUCGGCUGGACCAUUGUAGGCUCAUCCAAUCCACAUCUGGAUCGUCAGGGAAACCAGAGGUUCGUCCAUCGAGUGACAGUGAAGGAAAUACCAGCGCCAUCACCCACUGAUGUGCUGAAGGUCUUGGAAUCAGACUUCAAUGAAAGGAAGUAUGCAGACAAAGACAAGUAUGUGUCACAAGACGAUGUUCGCUUCAUUCAGCUCCUGAGUGACAACAUAACUCAAAGGAAAGAUGGACACUAUGAAAUGCCCCUCCCUUUCAAAAGCACAGAGCCUCCUCUGCUACCAGACAACAAGAAGCUGGCAACAAUUCGAUUGCAGCACCUAAAGAAAAGAUUGAAAAAUAAUGAGCGAUAUAAAGAACAGUACAAGGCCUUCAUGAAAGAUAUGAUAAAGAAAGGCGAUGCAGAGCCAGUGUUCCACCCCAAGAAGCCAGAGAAGCUAAGGGUCGUCUUUGACUGUUCAGCAAAGUUCCGUGGUGUCUCACUAAAUGAUACACUGCUAACAGGUCCUGACCUGACCAACUCUCUCCUUGGAGUGCUCUGUCGUUUCAGGAAAGAGGCCGUAGCCAUCAUAUGCGACAUUGAGAAAAUGUUCCAUCAGUUUUACGUUCCUCCUGAACUAAGUAACUACUUACGGUUUCUUUGGUGGGAGGAUGAAGACCUCGAAGCAGAGCCUCAAGAGUAUCAAAUGGCUGUCCACCUAUUUGGCGCCGCUUCGUCACCCGGAUGUGCCAACUUUGGUCUGAAGUAUUUGGCACGUCAACACAAGGAAGAGUAUCCAUCAGCUUCAGCCUUCGUUGAAAAUAACUUUUACGUCGAUGGUGGGCUUAUCAGCGUCCCCUCUGUAGAAGAAGCAAAGGAGUUGAUCGCUGAAGCACGAGAGUUGUGCAAGAGAGGUGGUUUGCGUCUACACAAGUUCAAUUCAAAUGAAAGGUCAGUUCUGGACUCUGUGGACCCAACUGAGAGAGCAGUCACAUCUGAA